rnacentral:lncRNA from 1 species
AGGAAGGAUGGAUUCUCCUUCCCAAGAACGGUGGUUGGCUGGUCUGCUUAUUCAGAAGAGUCAUGUGAUGAGAAGACAACCAGUGGUAUGUUACUUUUAUUCACCUAAAAUGACAAAAAUGUUACAGUCUUAAUUAAUGUUGUAUUAGGUAACACAAAAUCUUUACUAUCUUGGUUCCUCCAGCUGGUUUACCAGUAGCCUUAGCAGAAUGUUCAAAUAACACUGGAUCUCCACAGUUUGAUGCUCCUAACAGGCUGGAGUGUGAAUUAACCCUCAAUGACAUUCUAGGAAAUAUCUCCAGCAGUUCAUCUCAUUUACGAAAGUUAGCCUUCAGUACUCAGAUCCUGACCUCCCAACCAAAGCGGCUGUCAGCUGACAACAUCACCACAGCAGCUCAGAUAGCUAACACACUGCUUCAGUCUGCAAAUAUCACAGAGGACAUCACAGUGGCAGCUGUAACCACCAUCAGUCAGCUGCUCAAUGCCAGUGAGGAGAGUACACAGGAGAGAGACGCUGUCCAAAAGUACAGGAGUGUGUGUGUGUGUGGUGUGUGUGUGUGGUGUGUGUGGUGUGUGUGUGUGUGUGUGGUGGUUUGCGUUUCUGCAUAUGUUUGAGUUUAUGUGUGUACGUGUGCCUCUGCAUGGUGCAUGCAAACUAAUGUUUUUCUGUGUUUCUCUCCCAGCCUCACAGAGACCCUAGAGAUGUUUUCCCUGGACCAGAACAAUAAUGUGUCCUCGGUGGUUCGGCCCAACGUGGCAGUCCAGUCUGUCCAAGUACCAAGUGACACAGUAGGGAUCCAGUUUACUGCUCUGACUGGUGGGUGGGACUGCUAGUGAACCUACAUACUGGCAUUUAAAGUGAAAGUUUAUAUCUGUGUUGACAGUCUAGUUCUAUCACCUCAUUUUUAAAUGUUUCUCCUCUGCUGUCAAUAAGGUUUGGAAUGGAUUUGAAUUGGUGUACUACAGACAAGAACAGAUACAGUGGAGGCUGCUGAGG